UGGCUCAGUUGGUAGAGCAUGGUGUGUGCAACGCCAGGGUUGUGGGUUAGAUUCCCAC
rfam:Salmo salar isolate Sally breed double haploid chromosome ssa03, whole genome shotgun sequence.